rnacentral:rRNA from 1 species
CGUGUGGUUCUAUUUUGUUGGUUCUUAGAGCUGCCGUAAUGAUUAAUAGGGAUAGUUGGGGGCAUUCAUAUUCAGUCGCUAGAGGUGAAAUUCUUGGAAUUGACUGAAGAUGAACUACUGCGAAAGCAUUUGCCAAGGAUGUUUUCAUUAAUCAAGAACGAAGGUUAGGGGAUCAAAAACGAUCAGAUACCGUUGUAGUCUUAACAGUAAACUAUGCCGACUAGGGAUCGGGCGACCUCUUUAUGAUGUGUGGCUCGGCACCUUACGAGAAAUCAAAGUCUUUGGGUUCUGGGGUGGAGUAUGGUCGCAAGGCUGAAACUUAAAGGAAUUGACGGAAGGGCACCACCAGGUGUGGAGCCUGCGGCUUAAUUUGACUCAACACGGGGAAACUCACCAGAAAAAAGACAUAACUAGGAUUGACAGAUUGAUAGCUCUUUCAUGAUUUUAUGGGUGGUGGUGCAUGGCCGUUCUUAGUUGGUGGAGUGAUUUGUCUGGUUAAUUCCGAUAACGAACGAGACCUUAACCUGCUAAAUAGUCAGGUUGGCUUCGGCUGAUCGUAUUGACUUCUUAGAGGGACUGUCAGUGUCUAACUGACGGAAGUUUGAGGCAAUAACAGGUCUGUGAUGCCCUUAGAUGUUCUGGGCCGCACGCGCGCUACACUGACAGAGCCAGCGAGUUUUCAAUCCCUUUGCCGGAAGGUAUGGGUAAUCUUGUGAAACUCUGUCGUGC